AUUGAACGCUAGCGGCAUGCUUUACACAUGCAAGUCGAACGAGUGGCGGACGGGUGAGUAAUAUAUCGGAACGUGCCCAGUAGCGGGGGAUAACUACUAGAAAGAGUGGCUACUACCGCAUACUAUUGGAGCGGCCGUUAUUGGAUUAGCUAGUUGGUGGGGUAAAGGCUCACCAAGGCAACGAUCCGUAGCUGGGUUGAGAGGACGACCAGCCACACUGGGACUGAGACACGGCCCAGACUCCUACGGGAGGCAGCAGUGGGGAAUCUUGGACAAUGGGGGAAAGCCUGAUCCAGCCAUCCCGCGUGUAUGAGAAGGCCUUCGGGUUGUAAAGUACUGUUGUCAGAGAAGCGGUAUCUGAAGAAUAAGCACCGGCUAACUACGUGCCAGCAGCCGCGGUAAUUC
rnacentral:rRNA from 1 species